UACGAAGGAUGCAAGCGUUAUCCGGAUUCAUUGGGUUUAAAGGGAGUGUAGGUGGCCUUAUAAGUCAGUGGUGAAAUCUCUCAGCUUAACUGAGAAAUUGCCAUUGAUACUGUAGGGCUUGAGUAUAGUUGCCGUUGGCGGAAUAUGACAUGUAGUGGUGAAAUACAUAGAGAUGUCAUAGAACACCGAUUGCGAAGGCAGCUGACGAAACUAUAACUGACGCUGAGGCUCGAAAGUGCGGGGAUCAAACAGG
rnacentral:rRNA from 1 species